rnacentral:rRNA from 1 species
AGUCGUUGUCGUCAGCUCGUGUCGUGAGAUGUUGGGUUAAGUCCCGUAACGAGCGCAACCCUUGUCCUUAGUUACCAGCACGUUAUGGUGGGCACUCUAAGGAGACUGCCGGUGACAAACCGGAGGAAGGUGGGGAUGACGUCAAGUCAUCAUGGCCCUUACGGCCUGGGCUACACACGUGCUACAAUGGUCGGUACAAAGGGUUGCCAAGCCGCGAGGUGGAGCUAAUCCCAUAAAACCGAUCGUAGUCCGGAUCGCAGUCUGCAACUCGACUGCGUGAAGUCGGAAUCGCUAGUAAUCGUGAAUCAGAAUGUCACGGUGAAUACGUUCCCGGGCCUU